rnacentral:rRNA from 1 species
CCCUACGGGGUGCACCAGGCGCGAAACCUCUGCAAUAGGCGAAAGCCUGACAGGGUUACUCUGAGUGGUUUCCGCUAAGGGAACCUUUUGGCACCUCUACAAAUGGUGCAGAAUAAGGGGUGGGCAAGUCUGGUGUCAGCCGCCGCGGUAA